GGUCCCACUCCACCCUCCACACCUACCCCUUUCCUAUUCCUUCCCCCUUCCUCUCCCCAGCAACCUCUCUCCUGCCUUCCCAUCUGCCCUCAGGUCCCUGAAAAGGACGUGGCUGGGGCGCUGUGGUGCUGGGGUACACCAGCCCGGGUCCUGGCAGGGCCCUGAGCACAGGCAUCUUGCCACUGUGUACCCAGGCAGAGGUCUGGCGUGCACAGGCGCCUGGCCCAGGGCUGGGCGGAAGUCACUAGGUGUCCCAAGGGUAUCCCUGCCCGGGUCAUGGGGCCCAGCCCAGUGCCAAACACGGAGCCCUGGAGACUGAAGGACAGGAAAUGAGGAGGAGGAGGAGGAGGAGUCGGGGGGAAGGGAGGAAGGGCAGGAAUGCUACCCAGCCAGCCCCCUCUGUCGGAACAAACAGUGCCUGAGUGCUAAUGACUUGUUAUUGUUCAUGUCAAAAUGCACAGGUGGCCCCAGUCCCUGCCCCAACUCCCUUUGGUGCCAUGACCCAGGCUCCGGCACCAGCUCCCUUCCUGGUAUUAUUCUGGUCUGGGAGGGCAGGUUAGCAGGGGAGGUGCCAGGUCAUGUGACCAGGCUGGUCAUUUCCUGUCGUCCCCCAGGGAACCAGCACAAGGCCAGAGACCAGGGCUCUGGCCUACCAGCACAGAGAAAGGGACCUUAAAGCAUCCCUCUCAUUUUGCCAAGGAAAGCAGAAGCCCAGAGAGAUGAGGCAGCCUAUCCAGAGUCACACAGCUACUCAGAAACGAGCGAUUCUCCUGCUACCAGUGCUGCCCCUGGAAGCAGGGAUUUGAAUCCCAUUCCACAGCUAGAGAAAAGGAAGCUCAGAGGUUACAUAACCUGCCCUAAGCGUUGGUAAACAGGGGCACCAGGACUCACACUGUGCCUGUCUGACCCCCUGGCUGUGCUAAUCUCAGCACUAUCCCCUGCUGUCCCCAUGUCCCCUGGACACAGAGGCAGUCGAGGCAUGCUGUCCUCAGAAAGUUCCAAGCGCAGGUAGGAACAGAAAGAACUCUCUUUAGACCUCUUUUCUGGGAGGUUGAUGGAUUUGCCCCUUGGCUUUCUAAGAAGUAGGUCUGGCCUGAACAACUCCCAAUGCUGUCCUGCUGGGACUUGGGCGCCACCUCCUUCACCCUGUGUGUGCAGACUCACCGCUGGCACUUGUGCCUGCAUGGAAGCCCUUCCUGAGCCAAAGGCGUCAUCAUCAUCAAGGCAUCAAGGCACAGCUUCACAGCUGUAGAGAGGACCUCCUCAUCUUGGCAAGCCUCAGUUUCCUCAACUCGGCCACAUAUUUUGGUGUCCUCCUGGCACUCCCCUAUGGCCUCCCCCCCCCCAUAUACACAUGGUGGACACGCACGACAGGCACAUGACUGAAUCUCAGGUGAAGUUAAUCUAUUAAGUCUGAGUGGUUGGGGUGGUUCUCUGCCGAUUUGGACCCUACAGCCAUUAUCCUGUCCCCCGUCCCCAACCCCACAGUUCUUUUCCCUGCCUGCUUUCUCCUUCAUUCUAUCACCUCCAGAGAUGUUUUCACUGGCAAAGGGAGCUUCAACAUCUCAGAUUCUCCAAACUUCUCAGAAUCUUCCCCUGAGCCCCCCAAAACGAGAUGCCAAGUAGUGUCCAUAUAACCACCUCACCCCAAGAAGAAAAUGCAGAAUUAGCACUCACUAAAGGAGAAUGUUGCCAUGGCAACAUACCAAGAACAGUAACCAAGCUUACCCCACCCCUUACUUGACCUGGCCCCCACACCUCCCACCCCCACCUGGAGAGAACACACAAGCACCUAAUCCAAUGCCUGGCACACAGAGGUGACAGAUAAAUGACAAAUUCUUUUCCUCUUACCCCUGUGCCCAAAUGGGGACACUUGGGCAUGACACAUGCAGACACACAUGUCACAGCUGUGUGAGCCGCCCACGCACACUGCAGCCAAGCUUCAUCUGACCCACUGUCCAUCCUAGCUGUGCCACUCUGCACCCCUAGCCCCCAGAGCAAGCUGGGCCACCAGCAGCAUGUCCGAACCACAAUCUAGGCCCCCCUCCAGCCCUUGUGCCUGGCUCUGGCCUAGGCAGGUGAAGGGCACUCACCCAGCGAAGCCCCUGGA